AGCGAGGUUUGCGGGGUGGUGAGCCAGCAGAGGGGCUCCAUGGAAGGAAAGAUCCCGAAUGCCCCUCUCAUUCUGUCCAUCCUCAGAUGUUAUUUUACUGACUAGAAUUUUUUAACAGCUAAAACCAGGAAAAAAUAUGCUUAACAAUUCAAUACAUUUUCUUACAAAUAAAAGGAGUAAAAUAAAUGUGUAUUCUCCUGCAGAGCUCAUCUGGAAGCCUCCUUACACACCCCUCUGCCACCUGGUGGCAUCGCCUUUUCUCUUGGAUUCCUGGGGUGUCCGCUGAUGUUGCUGUCAAAAAGCAUCGAACUCUUCCCUCCCGCGACGCAGCGUGUCCGGCUGCCUCGGAUAUUCCCAGACCAGUCCAGCUGCCCAGCUCUUUACUCUCUGAUUCUUCCCUGCUCUUUCUUCCAAGUCAGAGAGGGAUACUGGCUUGUUAUCUUUGGACCCCCAGUACAAGGAAAGAAAGAGACAAAAGUAAUAAAACCACAAAUAGGAAGACCAAGCUGGAGCUCGCCCAUCUAACAGAUGUUCCCAUGCCAGCAUCAACCUGGCUUCUCCCACGGCCAGACGGAAAUCGGUCUUUACUUUCCACAUGGACAGGAAGGUAAAUAUUCAGAUAAUAUGCAGAAGAAAGGUUUAGCUGUGAUAUGAGUUGUGGCUCAGGGAGCCUGGAAACAACUGGUUGUUGAAGCAGGGAGUGUUGAAAUAACAUGUUGUUUUACAGUUCUUCACUGGGAGACUAAUAUUUCAACACAUUUGAAUGACUUCCUUGCAGAAAAAUGCUUAGGCUUAAAACAUGAAGCUGGAUAAGUAACAGGAGCUUCCAAGAGAAAAAUCACUCAACUUAGAUAUAUUCCAUGGCCAAGAAAUUCAGCGUCUGUAGUUAGAAAUGUUUCCAGCAAGCCCACCUCAUGUUGUCUGUUCUCAAAGGGGAUGACUUUGGAUUGGACCUACUUUUCAAAUAAAACUGUUAGGAGAGUAAGAGACA
rnacentral:lncRNA from 1 species